AUUGAACGCUGGCGGCAGGCCUAACACAUGCAAGUCGAGCGGAUGAAGGGAGCUUGCUCCUGGAUUCAGCGGCGGACGGGUGAGUAAUGCCUAGGAAUCUGCCUGGUAGUGGGGGAUAACGUCCGGAAACGGGCGCUAAUACCGCAUACGUCCUGAGGGAGAAAGUGGGGGAUCUUCGGACCUCACGCUAUCAGAUGAGCCUAGGUCGGAUUAGCUAGUUGGUGGGGUAAAGGCCUACCAAGGCGACGAUCCGUAACUGGUCUGAGAGGAUGAUCAGUCACACUGGAGCUGAGACACGGUCCAGACUCCUACGGGAGGGAGCAGUGGGGAAUAUUGGACAAUGGGCGAAAGCCUGAUCCAGCCGUGCCGCGUGUGUGAAGAAGGUCUUCGGAUUGUAAAGCACUUUAAGUUGGGAGGAAGGGCAGUAAGUUAAUACCUUGCUGUUUUGACGUUACCAACAGAAUAAGCACCGGCUAACUUCGUG
rnacentral:rRNA from 1 species